rnacentral:rRNA from 1 species
GACGAACGCUGGCGGCGUGCUUAACACAUGCAAGUCGAGCGGUAAGGCCCUUUCGGGGGUACACGAGCGGCGAACGGGUGAGUAACACGUGGGUGACCUGCCUUUAGCUCUGGGGAUAAGCCUGGGAAACUGGGUCUAAUACCGGAUACGACUCCGCGGUGCAUGCUGUGGGGUGGAAAGCCUUGUGCGGCUGGAGAUGGGCCCGCGGCCUAUCAGCUUGUUGGUGGGGUGAUGGCCACCAAGGCGACGACGGGUAGCCGGCCUGAGAGGGCGACCGGCCACACUGGGACUGAGACACGGCCCAGACUCCUACGGGAGGCAGCAGUGGGGAAUCUUGCGCAAUGGGCGAAAGCCUGACGCAGCGACGCCGCGUGAGGGAUGACGGCCUGGU